rnacentral:rRNA from 1 species
UUACCUCCGCUCGAGAGAGACUACCCCCUGGAUUAAAUCUUUUUAAGAGAGGGAGGAAAAGAAACUAAC